GCCUUCAUGGUGUAAUGGUCAGCACACUCGGCGCGUAUUCGAGAGGCCCGAGGUUCGAUUCCCGGCUAGGGCA
rnacentral:tRNA from 1 species